CUCAGAAGUCGGUCUUCCCCGUGGGGUCAGUCUCCUCUCCUCUCCCAGAUCUGUCUAUCCUGCCGUCCCCGGCGGAGGAUCCACCAUGGCGCCUCCACCGCACGGCCGCCUGCUCCUCCGCCCUCUCCUGCUCCUCGCCGCGGCGGCCGCCGCCUCCACGGCCCGUGCCGACGACCUAGUCGCGGAGCUCCAGUCCCUCCGCGCGCGGUCCCCGUCGGGCGUGAUCCACCUCACCGACACCUCCGUCACCCGCUUCCUCUCCGGCACCGCCGCGCGCCGCCCCUACUCCGUGCUCGUCUUCUUUGACGCCGCCUCGCUCCACUCCAAGCCCGACCUCCACCUGCCCCAGCUCCGCACCGAGUUCGCGCUCCUCUCCGCCUCCUUCCUCGCCCACAACCCCGGCUCCGGCGACCUCUUCUUCGCCGACAUCGAGUUCGCCGAGUCGCAGCACUCCUUCCACCAGUUCGGCGUCAACUCGCUGCCCCACGUCCGCCUCGUCCGCCCCGAGCACGCCACCCUCGGCGGAUCCGAGCAGAUGGACCAGUCCCACUUCUCCCGCCUCGCCGACUCCAUGGCCGAGUUCGUCGAGUCCCGCACGGGCCUCGAGGUCGGCCCCAUCGUCCGCCCGCCGCUCCUCUCCCGCAACCAGAUCAUCCUGCUCGGCAUCCUCUUCCUCAUCUCCAUCCCAUUCAUGAUCAAGAGGAUCAUCGAGGGGGAGACCCUGCUCCACGACCGCCGGGUCUGGAUGGCCGGGGCGCUCUUCGUCUACUUCUUCAGCGUGUCUGGGGGCAUGUACGGGGUCAUCAGACACACGCCCAUGUUCCUCACCGACCGCUCCGAUCCCAACAAGCUCGUGUUCUUCUACCAGGGGUCGGGGAUGCAGCUGGGGGCUGAGGGGUUUGCCGUAGGGUUCUUGUACACGCUCGUGGGUCUCAUGAUUGCUGUGGUGACACACUUGUUGGUGAGGGUGGAGAGCCUGCAGACGCAGCGCUUUGUGAUGCUGGCUGUCAUGGUCAUUGGAUGGUGGGCUGUUCGGAAGGUGAUCUACCUGGAUAACUGGAAGACUGGUUAUAGCAUUCAUACCUUCUGGCCGAGCAGCUGGAGGUAAAAUCCUGGCCUGGAGGCGAUAAAUGCCUCCUUCCUUUGGUUUCAGAGCAUUGCUCUUGUGCUGGUAGUUUGAUCCUUGUUGAGCCAUGUGCACGCGCACACAAGUCAUGGACUCAUCCAAAUUGACAUUGCUGAAAUAGAGCAUCGCUUGGAUUGUGAUGACAUGCCACAAGUUUGAGGUUGCAGUUAGGCUGCUGUAGUAUGAAAUAGAGAAAGAACCCAAGUCAUUUUAGCUGAAUUUGCGUCUCUGUCACGCAAACAGAGAGGGCCUGAUUUUGAACUCCGAUAUAAUAUAUGGUACUUUUAUAUGGUUUAGCAAGACAAUGGUAAAUCUUAGUUGAUGAUGCCCUCCUUACAUCUUUUGGAUGAUUUCUUGAUAAAAGUCAUCUGCAUUGACGGUUUUGGUUUAGAA